rnacentral:rRNA from 1 species
UACGUAGGGUGCGAGCGUUGUCCGGAAUUAUUGGGCGUAAAGAGCUCGUAGGCGGUGUGUCACGUCGGCCGGUGAAAACCUGCAGCUUAACUGUGGGCGUGCGGUCGAUACGGGGCAUCACUGGAGUUCGGCAGGGGAGACUGGAAUUCUUGGUGUAGCGGUGAAAUGCGUAGAUAUCAAGAGGAACACCUGAGGUGAAGACGGGUUGCUGGGCUGACACUGACGCUGAGGCGCGAAAGCUAGGGUAGCAAACAGG